rnacentral:rRNA from 1 species
UACGUAGGGGGCUAGCGUUGUCCGGAUUUAUUGGGCGUAAAGAGCGUGUAGGCGGCCAUGUAGGUCCGGUGUGAAAACUCGAGGCUCAACCUCGAGACGCCGAUGGAAACCAUCUGACUAGAGUCCGGAAGAGGAGAGUGGAAUUCCUGGUGUAGCGGUGAAAUGCGCAGAUAUCAGGAAGAACACCCGUGGCUAAGGCGGCUCUCUAGUACGUGACUGACGCUGAGACGCGAAAGCGUGGGGAGCGAACAGG